GAUAAUGAACUGCUCCAUUCAUCUAUCGGGCUGUUCCAAAUACUUUCUGAGCUUUGCUAUCAGCCGGUUUUCUACAGUGAUCGACUAUUCUCCGAAUCUCUUCAGACUUCUUCCGGUCAUGGACGACUUUUCUCCGAACUUCUACAACGGGAUAGGCUCCACCAAUCGGGUCUCUACUCUGAACUUCUACAAUGGGACAGUCUCCACC
rnacentral:lncRNA from 1 species